rnacentral:tRNA from 2 species
GCCCACAUAGCUCAGUGGUAGAGCACUUCCUUGGUAAGGAAGAGGUCGCUGGUUCAAUCCCUGCUGUGGGCUCCA